GCGCGAAAACUUUACAAUGCCGGCAACGGCGAUAAGGGGACCUCGAGUGCCAGGUUACAAAUCUGGCUGUCGAGAUGCCUAAAAAGCAUUUCAUAGCAAGGGCCGGGCAAGACCGGUGCCAGCCGCCGCGGUAACACCGGCGGCUCGAGUGGUAACCGUUAUUAUUGGGUCUAAAGGGUCUGUAGCCGGCCGGAUAAGUCUCUUGGGAAAUCUGGCAGCUUAACUGUCAGGCUUUCAGGAGGUACUGUUCGGCUCGAGGCCGGGAGAGGUGAGAGGUACUUCAGGGGUAGGGGUGAAAUCUUGUAAUCCUUGAAGGACCACCAGUGGCGAAGGCGUCUCACCAGAACGGACCUGACGGCAAGGGACGAAAGCUAGGGGCACGAACC
rnacentral:rRNA from 1 species